AAUAAGUGCAGUCAUGAAUUUCCACGUCUAACUUUGAUCGUCCGUCUUAUUUGAAAAUUUUUUAUAAUUAGCAUUUUUGUUUUUAUAAGAUUAUAAAACAUAAAUAAUACUUUACUCAUGACUUAUGUUUUUAUUUUUUAAAAAAAAAUUUAAAUAAGACGAAUGGUUAAAGUUAGGCGUGGAAAACUAUGGCUACACUUAUU
rfam:Oryza glaberrima chromosome 7 Oglab07_0135_48, whole genome shotgun sequence.